CUCAUUUACUCUAAGCACGGAAGAUGAACAGAUGUAGAAAACUUUCAAGCUGCACAGAACUAUGACUUCAGAGGUGGUGACAAUUACAUUAGAGCAUUUCUAGGGAAUGUGCAACUUAUUCUCUUGAAUAGGGAGACGAAGGAAAAGUCCUUAAGAAGAGAACAACUUAAAGAAUCUCUCAAGUUCUAAAGAGUCUCCCAGGAUAAGAAAAUGGCAAGGAUUCUGAAUUCUUUCCUUGAUAUUUUGAAGCCUGGAUUGCAUUUGAAAGGUCUCUUCUCCUGUGAUGGAGAACAACAUGCAUAGUAUUAUGAAAAAUAUGUCUAACUCACAGUUUCACGGUGGAGAUAAAAUCAACCUGCUCUUCAGGAAGAGGACAGUCAGUCAGUCUCUAUCUGAAGUCAAGUUAGGAGAAGAUGCCAUGAUUGUAAAAGCUGUUAUGAAUCCUACAUGAUGUGGAUGUGAAAAAGAACAAGUGAGAAAAUGCUGCAUACAACACGCAAAAGCCCCUAAAAAGCAAUAUUGAAGCUGGGAUAUAUGCAAGGAAGUUAGGCACGUCAGUCAAAGAAAACAAAGAAAGAACCUCCAAGUUAAAAGAAAACAAAAUAUGAGGAUGAAGUAAGGCCGUAUCUUCAAAGAGAGAUAUUAAGAGAUGGUAUUAAAGGGAUUGUCUGAUGAUUCAUCCAGGAUUGAAUGAAAAUAUAUUCCACAUAUUUCAAAUGGAGAGAAAUAGUACCAUUUGUGUCCACUCAGCUUGUCGGAUGGCUGCACUACAUACGUGUGCUUGUAAAAGUAUCUAUGUGCGCAAUUAUACUACAGUUUCAUAUACAUCUGAAGUUACAAUAACCAUGAAAAGGUCUUGGUUUCAGGAACCUUUGACUUGUCAAUGAACAGUUUUGCCAUACUAAUGGGAAGAUAAGGAAUUCAAGAGAAUAUAAAAACCUUUUAAAAAUAUUUUUCCGUGUCAUCAUUUAAUGGAAAUGUCUUGACAGGUUUUUGAAGGCCUGACUCCUUAACACCUGAAGAGCAACAGUGUAAACAUGAAGACCAGAUGCUGAGAAGCUAUAUCAUAGAAGUAGCAUUGCACACCUACACAACAACCUUU